UUUAAAUGUAAAUUAUUAGUACUAAAUUAGUGUUAGUUAUGGUCUUUAAAAUUAAAGAAUUUGGCGGUAUUUUAGUCUAUUCAGAGGAACCUGUUUUAUAAUUGAUAUUCCACAAUUUAAAUUACUUACUUUAUUAAUUUAUAUAUCGUCGUAGUUUGAAUAUUUUUUAAGAAUAUUAAUAUUCAAGAUUUUUAAUAAUAGAAUAAAUCAGAUCAAGGUGUAGUUUAUAAGUAAGAAAAAAUGGGUUACAAUAAAUUUAUUUAUAUGGAUAUGAAAUUUAAAAUUUUAUUGAAAGUGGAUUUGAAGGUAAAUUUAAUUAAUUAAUUAAAUUGAUUUUAGCUCUAAAAUAUGU
rnacentral:rRNA from 1 species